rnacentral:lncRNA from 1 species
UGCAAAAGAUGUUUUGUAUGCAUGAAUGAAAAAUGAGUUUAGAACUAGUUUGACAUAUUAUUUCUUCAUUUAAAGUAUGUUUAUCUUUUGUUUUUCAAUGGUUGAAAAAUAUAAAUCAAGAGUUGAAAAAGAUAUGCAUGUAAAAAGGUGUUUUAGAUGCAUGAAUGAAGAAUAAGUCAUGAACAAAUUUUGGGGUUUUGAACCAAAGGGAUGGCACGGUUUUGGGGGUGGUUUUGGGUUGUGUUUGUGUUUUAUUGUAAACCACUCUCACAUCCUUUUAAAGCUAGAAAGAAGAAACCUUGUCACUUUUGUUUUUGGGUUUGAAAAAUCACCAAGAAUACACAAAUCUUGAAAAAGUGUUCAUGGUUUUGUUCUUGGUGUUCAUAGUUUGGUUUUUGAUGAAAAUGGUUUUAAUGCAUUGUUUUGUGGUUUUGGGUGAUGUUAAUACCAUCCAUAACCAUAUCAUAUACUUAUAAAACCCUAGACUUGACUAGGAGAUUUCCAUCAAACCUUUUCACCUAAGUUUUAAAUGCCAAAACCAAGUGACAAGCAAAAUUUUGAUUUUUCUACUUUGCAUUGAAUUAAAACUUGAUGGGUGAGACUUCCCAUCCCCCUUAAUGUGGCCGGCCACCCUAGUGGAUUUAUCCACUUGGGGAGUCUUUUGUAAUCUUUGAAAAGUUGAUAUUUUAUACUUUUGAGUAUUUACGUUUUUACCCCUAACUUUUCUUAUUUACAUUUAGGCCCCUACUAACUAGAAAGUUAAAAUAUUUGAUUUUAAUUUUGUUAGUUGUUUAAACUCAUAAUUAUAUUAUGCCCAUAUGCACUAAAUCUAAAUGUUUAUGUUGCAUUCCAUUAUGAUUAUUUAAAUGUGUUUAAGUAGUUAUGAAAUGGAUGACUUUGGACUUAUGCCUUAAACGAUAAUUGAG